GGAAGGGGUGUAUUUAUUAGAUAAAAAACCAAUGCCCUCCGGGGCUCACUGGUGAUUCAUGAUAACUCCUCGAAUCGCAUGGCCUUGCGCCGGCGAUGGUUCAUUCAAAUUUCUUCCCUAUCAACUUUCGAUGUUUGGGUAUUGGCCAAACAUGGUUGCAACGGGUAACGGAGGGUUAGGGCUCGACCCCGGAGAAGGAGCCUGAGAAACGGCUACUACAUCCAAGGAAGGCAGCAGGCGCGCAAAUUACCCAAUCCCGACACGGGGAGGUAGUGACAAUAAAUACUGAUACAGGGCUCUUUUGGGUCUUGUAAUUGGAAUGAGUACAAUUUAAAUCCCUUAACGAGGAACAAUUGGAGGGCAAGUCUGGUGCCAGCAGCCGCGGUAAUUCCAGCUCCAAUAGCGUAUAUUAAAGUUGUUGUGGUUAAAAAGCUCGUAGUUGAACCUUGGGCCUGGCUGGCCGGUCCGCCUCACCGCGUGUACUGGUCCGGCCGGGCCUUUCCCUCUGUGGAACCCCAUGCCCUUCACUGGGCGUGGCGGGGAACCAGGACUUUUAC
rnacentral:rRNA from 1 species